rnacentral:rRNA from 1 species
ACGCUCGACACCUACGGGAGCAGCAGUGGGGAAUAUUGCACAAUGGGGGAAACCCUGAUGCAGCGACGCCGCGUGAGCGAAGAAGUAUUUCGGUAUGUAAAGCUCUAUCAGCAGGGAAGAAGAAAGACGGUACCUGACUAAGAAGCCCCGGCUAACUACGUGCCAGCACGCCGACGGUAAUCUGAGGCGGGCGUGGACGAAGGC